rnacentral:lncRNA from 1 species
GGCGCGCGGCAGGCGGGGAAGCUCUUGGCGCUCCAGCAGCCCGGCUGCGGCCACUUGUGCGAUCCCGCCGCCCCGCGCGCCAUGAGCCGCAGGUUCACGGUCACCUCGCUGCCCCCCGCAGCGUCCGCCGCCUCCGCUGACCCAGAGUCCCGCCGGCAUUCGGUGGCCGAUCCCCGCCGGCUCCCGAGGGAAGACGUCAAAGGGCCACAGCCUCCUCUCUGCUCUCCCGGCGGCCAGCCAGGUCUACCCAUCCCACACUAAGAUGUCCAUCACUAUCGGAUAAAGGCCAAACCCUUCAGCCUGUCGUUCAGUUUCCUUCUUCAUCUGCAUCUGGAAGAGGCCAUCAUUCCCCUUCAGCCUGUCCAUCAGAGCACAUUUCCAGAGGAUGCUGGUUCAAGCACAUUAAAGACAGAGGCCGUGUC